CACCAAGAAGGAGGUGCCCUCAAAACUCAGACCGCCAAACAGCCUCAAGUGGCAGGCUGGGACAGAUUCCACUCACAUCUUCCUUCCCCUCUCAAUGAUCCAGUGAUCCUUCCCCUCUCUUCUGUCCACCUGUGGAAUACAAGCAUGAAGUUUCAGAGAACUUUUGCAUGAUCUUUUGAAGCUGAAAGAUGCUAUAAACUUUCUUCCUAGAGCAAUGAGCCAAGAUUCAGAGAAGUGACUACCUGGAGACAUACAGAUUUCUUAAGAAACCGAGUCACUGCUGCAUGCUCGGAUUCCAUCUGCUGUAUGAGAUCACCUGAUACCUGCAAGCAACCAGGUGUUCCUUUCAGAAACCAGAAGGCGAUAACCCAGGCAUUUGGAUCCAUACACCAGCCUGUGUUCUUUGCAGUGGAGGCCUUAGGAAGGAGAGUCUCCCCAAUGGCAGGAAAUUCACUGAAAAAUAAAAUAACUCCUAAAGAAUUUUAAAGACAAUAAUCCUGUGAAUCUGGGCUCUGGACCUGUGCUUUUCAUCUGCAAACCGUUUCCCCCACCCCAAGGAAGCAACAACACUGGUGGGCAGCAGAUUUCAACUUUAAACACCGGCAGAUGGCUUGCACUGUGACCAACAGCCAGCAAGGAGGCACGUCCUGGAACACCAUCUUGAAGAUGCCCCAACUCAUAAUGCUCACAACGCGCCUUGUCCCUCAGCACCUGCACUCUCCUGAAUGCAUCUUAAAGCCUGUCUGAUAAACCACCUCGUGUAUCUUACUGAUGUGUCCUGAAAAUUCUUUUUCUAUGACACAAGUCAGGGAAUCUGCAAACCCAUUAUAUUCGGGUGGGAUAAGUCCCAUAUUUCAGCCUUGGUGGCCCUCAGACCACCAGCCUGGUGACAGGCUCAUUUGAUGAACUCACCCACAAUAGGCUCCAAAUUUUGCGAUUAUGCCAUGAGGAACUAUUACUCAAGGGAAGGGAAUAAAAUUUGUAUGGUAUGAGCUGGUGUUGAGAAGUAAAUUUGUGGAAGUAGGGAUAAGAAUAUCCCUUUCAGAGCAUGACAGGGACUUGGGUCCUGUGAAGGCUCCAUGGUUAUCUGGCUAUG